GCUGGCAUCCCAGGGUGACUUCACCAUGGGCUGUCAUCGCUGAGGCCAUAAAAAGCCAAAAGCACUACCCUUGAGUCAUCCUAGCCCCUUGGAGCCAAAAACGUAGCAACGUCACGUCUGUAGUUGACCUCGGUUCCGGGCACCUUCCUGAGCAUUCUUCGGGAGGCACUUGUGAAACUCAGCCCAGGUGCUGCCCAGGAUCAGGAGGCUGAGACGUGAUCUGGAAGUGAGUGCCCAUCCAUACACCUUCCCCAGCUUUGGGGCCACAGAGGGACAGAAACCGCAGGCAGGCUGGCCUGGGAAUGAACCUACACCAGCCUGAAGUCAGAAGAGCCUCUAGGAGCCUCCAGCCUGGACUCUUUUUACAGAUGGGGAAACUGAGUCCCAGAGAGGGAGCAAUGAAGGAUGUCUAAGGUCAUCAGCAACGUAAAGCCAACAGCAUCAUCCUGAGUCAUGUUUGAACCUGAGGGAAAGAAACAUAUGUUCGAAGAGGUUCUGAGGCUGCUGCACCCGAUAUCAUACCUGGUUGGCCCUGGGAAAGGGCCCACCUCCAAUACAUAAACACAACCAGCUUUGACAGUGAGCCCUGAAGCAUGGCAUUGAGAAGCUGCCUAAGAAGGAGGCAGAUCCAUCAGCCUGGGUGCCCGACUGAUUACCCUGAGCAGAGCUCCCCAGCCCACCUGUGAUGGACGCAUGGAGCUUGAGCAAGGAAUAAAUAUUCGUUGCUUCCUGAGAACCCCACUGCGGAUGAGAACAAACGUUUGUUCGGCUGACCCUUUCUCAGAUCCCGCCCACUGAGAAGUGACAGUCCCUCCUCUCCCCGCCUCUCCCUGACCCCCAGCUCUCCGCGGCGGGAUCUGAGCCCUCUCCUGCUGGACUUGUGGUACUUGCUGAACAAUCUCGUGUUGUUGUCUGCCCGCUGGGAGAGAACACUGAUAAGAGAGGCGAUUAGGUGACUAAAUCUGCUGGCUGCCCUUACACAAUGCCAGCAGGUAACUCAUUUGAAGCUUAAUGGCUGGAUUUAGUCAUAAAGGAGGCCUGCAGAGGGAGUGAUGUCAGAAGUGCAGGAGAUUGGAGGCGGAAUCAGGGCUUCCAACCGAUAGAUGGAAAGAGAUUGUCAGCAAGAUGUAGAAAUGUGUUUGUGUGUAAGAACACAGCACAUUGUGCACCUUCACAUAUGUGUGUAAGAGAGAGAGAACCAAAGAACCCAAGGGCUGAAAAAGCCUUGGUGAUUCUAGUUCCAGCUACCUUAUUUUAUAGAUGGGGAAACUGAGGAAAGGGCUUGUGCAAGAUCCGGCUUCUGGGAGUCCUGUUCUCUAUCACAGCAGGAAGUGGAAUUAUUCUGGUAUUAUUUACUUGCCACUUUUCAUCUCCAGGAGUCAUAGCCAUUUUUAUCUCUCCCUGUGUAUCUGUUUGCCCCUGGGGGUAGCACUGUGCCUGAGGUCUGGCUGCUGAGAAAUGAAACACUCCUAAUGUGCGGAUGGAGGCACAGUCACCGCAGGGCCAGGCAGUAAGAUGCAUCAUUGAAUAGGGAAGCCCAUAGGGUGUGCAGCGUUUGGGAAUGGUGGGGACUGUGGCUUGCACGCAAGAAUACACUCGGUUUCAGAGGGACAGCUGCCACUUAGUGCCAGGCAGAUUUAGCCUUGGAAAAUGCAAACCCAGUUUUGCUAGACCUUAGGAAUUUCAAAAGAAUCUUGUUCAAGUGAGGAACAAGAUUUUUUUUUCUAGGCAAAGUCUCUGAUUUUUUUUAAUGUAGGUAAAUGUUUAAAUGCUUUGUUUUUCAAUACUUUGGAUCAAUCAACACAUCUGCAGUCAGGAUGGGGCCCAUAGCCCUCAGCUGGUGACCACUGAUCAUUUUAUCGAUGGGAACACUGAAGUCCAGAAAGAAGAACCAAAACUUGGGUCUCAUGCUUCCCUGUACUGGGGAAUUUUUUUCUACUGCAUUGCACAGUAUGUGUGUGUGUAUGUGUGUGUGUGAGAGAGAGAGAGAGAGAAGAAAGAGAGAGUGUAUGUGUGUGAGAGAGAGAAGAAAGACAGAGAGACAGUGUGUGUGUGUGUGUGAGAGAGAGAAGAAAGAGAGACAGUGUGUGUGUGAGAGAGAGAAGAAAGACAGAGAGACAGAGUGUGUGUGUGUGUGUGAGAGAGAGAGAAGAAAGAGAGACAGUGUGUGUGUGAGAGAGAGAAGAAAGAGAGACAGCGUGUGUGUGUGAGAGAGAGAGAGAGAGAAGACAGAGAGACAGAGUGUGUGUGUGAGAGAAGAAAGACAGAGAGACAGAGUGUGUGUGUGUGUAUGUGAGAGAGAAGACAGAGUGUGUGUGUGUGUGAGAGAGAGAAGAAAGAGAGACAGAGUGUGUGUGUGUGUGAGAGAGAGAAGACAGAGAGACAGAGUGUGUGUGUGUGAGAGAGAGAGAGAAGACAGAGAGACAGAGUGUGUGUGUGUGUGUGUGUGAGAGAAGAAAGACAGAGAGACAGAGAGAGUGUGUGUGUGUGUGUGUGAGAAAGAAGACAGUGUGUGUGUGUGUGUGAGAGAGAAGAAAGAGAGACAGAGUGUGUGUGUGAGAGAGACAGAGAGAGAAGACAGACAGUGUGUGUGUGUGUGAGAGAGAGAGAGAGAAGACAGAGAGACAGAGUGUGUGUGUGUGUGAGAGAGAGAGAAGAAAGAGAGACAGAGUGUGUGCAUGUGUGUGUGAGAGAGAAGAAAGAGAGACAGAGUGUGUGUGUGAGAGAGAGAAGAAAGACAGAGAGACAGAGUGUGUGUGUGUGUGUGAGAAGAAAGAGAGACAGAGUGUGUGUGUGUGUGUGAGAAGAAAGACAGAGACAGAGUGUGUGUGUGUGUGAGAGAGAGAGGAGAGACAGAGUGUGUGUGUGUGUGUGUGUGUGUGUAUAUACACAUCUAUGUAGGCACAAUCUGAUGAAAAACCAGAGCUCUACAUAACAAUACUCCUGACCAUUCAUGGUACAAUGUGAUCUUUACCCACAUAAUCUGCACAGCAGCCACUGGCCAUAAACAUUUCUGUGUUUGCUCACUCCUCACUGCAGGCUGUAUGUGUAUCUGUCAUUCAUCACUUCACAGGCUCCUUUACAUGUAUUUUAUCCUUUCUAUCCCUAACACUGGGACAAGGAGCCUUAAGUAAUAUUGUCCUACCCAUUGGGCAGAUGAGAAGACUGAGGUCUACAGUGGUACAUGGACCAGCCCAAGGUCACAUGGGGAGUGAAAGGCAGAGAUGGAAUUCAGACCCCAGUCUCUCAGGCAGGUGUUCUCCUUCCCAUACCACUCUGCAUCUUUGUUUUUCUGCUUCCUAACAAACAGGGCCUGUUUCUUCUCCUUCCUGUUUUUGGUUCUUUCAAACAUCCUGAGCACGUGAGCCCAGGAUCCUCCUUAAGCCCUAGGGAGACAAAAACUCCCCUGGAGAAACUGGGAGGCAGCAGGACUGAAAGAGAGUGAAGAGAAAAUCCAGGCCUUUUCCUUCUCGUGGCCUUGGAGCACAGUUUCAGCAUUCUCCAUCAUCUUCCUGGAGGAGUAGGACCUGGUUGAAGAAAAAGAGACCCUAAUUUUAAAUCUUUAAUGCCUCCUCACUUCUAUAACGACCUAAAGCUGAAGCUGAACUUCAAUAGCAUAAAUUAUCCACAAAAUUCUAAAUAUUUUCAAAAUCUGUGCAAAAUCUCGGCAUGAAGUCCCCAAGGACAGGCACCUGGCCAUCUCACUUUUAGUAUAUUCUCAGAAUCUUGGACAGAGCCUGGCAUAUAACAGCUGCUCAAUAAAUAUAAAGGAGGAAGGAAGGAAGGAAAUAAAGAAAAGAGAAGAGGGAAGGAGGGAAGGAAGGAGGGAAGAAAAGAUGGAGAAAGAAGGAAAGGAAACAUAUGUAUGUCAGCCCAAUCCUUAGAAUUAAACCUUCCAGAAUUAAGGCAGCAACUGGGUGCCUGCAAAUGUCUAGAGUGUUGUGGAUAAUUCAUUGCAAAGAAUUCCAACUUCAGUUAUGGGCCAGAGACAGGUGGCAGUGGAGAGCAAUGAAGAGUUAAGAUUUUAUGACCUCAAUCCUAACUGUGCCGCUGACCUUGGAUGAGUUAUUUUAUCUUUCUGAGCUUCAAUUUAGCAACUGUGUUUGUUUUCUAUUGUUGCCAUUAAAAAAUUAUCACAAACUUAGUGGCUUAAAACAAUACACAUUUAUACACUUAGAGUUCUGGAGCGCAGGAGUCUGAAAUGGUAAGCAUUCCUCCUGGAGGCUGUGGGGCAGAAUGCGUUCUCUUGCCUUUUCCAGCUUCUAGAAGCUGCCUGUGUUGUCCGUCUUGUAAUCCUGCAUAUCUCCAACCUCUGCUUCCAUUGUCACAUCUUCGAUUCUGCCCCUCCUGUCUGCCUCUUCUAGGGACUCUGAUUACACUGGACCUAUCCAAGAUCUGAGAUCAUCAACUCAUCUCAAAAUCCUUAAGCUGACCACAGCAGCAUCGUCCCUUUUGCAGUGUAAGGGAGCCCAGCUGGGACAAUGUGUGAAUCAACGCAUGAAGGAGUGAGUGAGCAGCUAACCAAAUGAAAGAAUACUCAGAUAUCUGGGGUACAGUUCCCCUCCAGGUUUGCACAGCAUCUGCUGAAGUCUCCACUAGAAACUCAAUGGAAGGUCCCCACCGGAAACUGAAAGUCUCCUAGAGUGGCUUUGAGUUGCGGUUUCACCCUCCCUGCAGAUCCACAGGGGAGGCUGGGGCAGAUGGAAAAUACCAACUUGAUGGUCUGUGGCCACACCAUGCUGCUCCCCAAGGCCCCUCAGAAUUUCACUGCCCAAUAUGGUAGCGCCCAGCCUGAAACGUGGCCAGUGUGAAUUGAGAUGGGCUGGAAAUGCACCAGACUUCCAAGAGCUGGACAAAAACCAUAUACUUUCCAUCCAGCUGUUUGGCAUUGGAUACUGCUGCCUCUGCUUGACUUGAGAAUGUGUGAGAAAAGCUGUGUUUAGACAACUGAAAACCAUGAGCUUGAAAGUAGUGGGGGCACACUCUUGGAGACUCCAGUUGCUCACCAGCUUGGACAAACCACUGGACUCAAAUGAUCAGGUAGAAAUUCAUCACUGGAGAGAACACAGUGGAAUGGCUUCAGCGAAAACUCACUCUGAAGGUCUUCAGGGCAACUUUAAGACUUGCCCCUGGCCGGGCACAGUGGCUUAUGCCUAUAAUCCCAGCACUUUGGGAGGCCGAGGCGGGUGGAUCACCUGAGGUCAGGAGUUCAAGACCAGCCUGGCCAAUAUGGCGAAACCCUGUCUCUACUAAAAAUCCAAAAAAUUAGCCGGGCGUGGUCGUGGGCGCCUGUAAUCCCAGCAACUCGAGAGGCUGAGGCAGGAGAAUUGCCUGAACCCGGGAGGCAGAGUUUGAAGACAGCCGAGAUUGCACCACUGGGCAACAAGAGCAAAACUCCAUCUCAAAAAAAAAAAAAAAAAAAAAAAUACUUGCCCCGGCUUUUUGUGUGAUGGACUUUCUAUUUACAGACGUGAUAUUUAUCUAUGACUUUACUCAGAGUCUGGCUCAUAGACCAGAAGGACUGGUAUCUCCUGGAGCUUGCAGGAAAUGCAAAAUCUCAAACCCCUGUAUUAGUCAGGGUUCUCCAGAGAAGUAGAGCCAAUGGGAUAGAGACAGGGAUAGGGAUGAUAGAGAUGGAGAUAGAGGUAGAGAUCCAUUGAUUCCUCUGUUAAUAAAUUGGCUCAUGCAGUUGUGACAAUUUCGAAAUCUGCAAGGUAUGUCAGCAAGCUGGAGACCCAGGGAACAGUUGAUGUUGCACCUUGAGUACAAAGGCAGUGUGUCUGGAGCCAUAAUAUCUUCUUGUUAGGAAGACUUUGGUCUUUUCUCUUCUGGCCUUCAACUGCUUGGGUGAGGCCCGUCCCCACUACAGAAGACAAUAGUCUGUUCUACUCAGAGUCUACUGAUUUAAAUGCUCAUCUCAUCCCAAAAAAUACCCUCACAGCAACAUUUAGCCUGUGCAUUUGACCAAACAACUGGGUACCAUGCCCCCCCUCCCAAGUUGACACACAAAAUUGACCAUCAUACCCUCCCCACCCCCAGUCUUACUGAAUGAGAGAGAAUCUGUGCUUCAACAAGAUCCCCAGAAGAGGUAUAAGCGCAGGGAAGUCUGAGAAGCACCACCUUUGAGGCUUAUCCAGGAUGCCCACAUGAGCCUUCUCUGGAUAUGUCAGAUCCCCUUCCUGGCCCCCUAGACACCUCCUCCACUCCCCAAACUUGGAAGCAACAUUGUGGGGAAGCAGGCAGUGAGGCGCUCAGUCUACCACGUUGUGAGAUACACAGCUCCAUCUGUGUAUCAUGAUUUGAUCCAAGGGAAAACAAAAGAUCCAGAAACAUAAGUACUUUUUUGUGAGCUCUCAAAAACUUCCUGUGACAAGAUCAGGUCGUUGAUGCGAGAGCCACACUUGUUUCUUUUUCCUCUUUAUUCUCCACCUCUGACAUAAUACUUAGCAUAAAAAAAAAUCCAAUAAACACCACUGAAUCAAUUAUCUAAGCCUCAGUUUCCCUCUUGUAAUAUGUACUUACCUGGUUGUGGUAGGAAAGACACCAGGCAUGAGAAACACUUAAAAGCCCAGGACCCUGAGCUGGGCACAUGGUAGGUACUCAGGAAGUCAUUGCCGAGUGUUCAGUGCAUGCUUGUUGAAUGAGUAAAUGAGGUCAGGCUUCAGCAUGCAAACACUCGCUAUAAAGCAGGAACCCUGUGCCCUGAGUGCACAAAAUAGAUAUCGAGAAGGAACACAGGCUCAGACAUCAGUGCCAUAUCUGAAGACAUUCAGCUAAUAACAGGAUGGAGUCCAAUCUGCUGGUGUGUGCACACCUGUGCCUGGGUGUCUUUGCUGGUGUGUGCACAUGUGUCUACAUGUGUGGUCGUGAGAGUACACACAGGGGCUGGAGGGUGGGGAAGGGCUUAAUCUAAUCCUGAAAGUGCCAGCAGAACUCUUGGGUGUCCCUCAAAGUCAAGCUUCUUUCCAGGUCAUCGAAGUUUUCACUUGGGUAAUAAUGCACGCAUAAUUAACUGAACAAAUAUAAUGAAUCUAUCUGUAGUGACAUGAUAGUUGGUGCUGAAUCCUAUUAGAGCACAUUUAAUUAAAAAUGCAUUAAACCUUCAAGCUUCUAAACACACCCUGCGCUUCUUCAAAGCCGCCCCUCCGUUAAAGUCUUCCCCACUAUUAACUAUGAGUCAGCCUGUGACCCUUUGGGCAUGACGGGGUGAGGUGAAGUGGCUCUUAAAUGCCUGUGCCAGUAUAUCACAGGCACUAAUGGAUUUAAAUCAGGGAGAUUAAUUCCAUUCAUUCGGCUCCUCAUUUCAGAAACAACUGUCACGCUGAGCCUAAUUGCUGAAGAUGGUUGAAGGCACCAGGAGGCUGGAGUUUCCUGGAGGUGGUUUGUGGCCAACCGUCAAUUACUUGGGCUGCUGUGCAGUGGGGAUAGAAGGAUGAUUAGAAUCCACAGACAACCCAUUGGCCUUUGUUUACCAUUAACUUCUGUUUUCUCCACCAGCCAAGCUCCUCCAGACCCAGGAGAUGGCUCUUCCCUCUGUGUAGCACACUCUUUCCAGUCAAGGGGUCUUGCACUGCUAUUUCCCCUUCUGCUUUGCUUGGUUCAUUCUUACUGACCCUCCAAAUACUGAAGGAAUGAAUGGAGAAAUAAGUAAAUGAGAGAUGUGGCCAAGAGUCUCCAAGAGAGGAAAUUAAAAAAUCCUAUACCUGUGAGGAACUGGCCCACUUGCAAAAGGCGGACUCAUUUGUCACUGUGUUUGCUGGCUGCUCGCACCACACAGUUUCCAGCCUAGGCAUUAUUUCCAACCUCUUUUUCCAAAGGGUCUUUCUAAGGUACAGAAAAUGGACAUAAAAUCGCCCAACGUAGUUGAGAGGUAAGGAGUAAAAGCCGGAAUUUGAACUCCUAAUCUCCUGCCACGAUUUCAUGCUGCCUCUGGGUAAUCUCCCAGCACGUUGCUUAAUCAGCUGCUGAGUCAUUGAGAGCCGGCAGAACCAGCUUCCUGCUGAGGCAGAGUGGGAGGAGGCCCGUCUGGGAGCAGCACACUGAAGGAAGGGAGGAGGAGGUGAUGUUUGGCACAAUCGGAUUGGUUCCCAUGAGGUCCAGGGCUGCGGCUCCUACAGAAGGCACUUUUUGCAUAUGGUAGGCUUCACGGGGUGCAACCUCUGUGUUGUUAGGAGAACCUCGUGCUUGCUAUGAUGCUCUGCUGUCAUUAUCUUGAAAUUCUUAGUCACAUUAAAACACGGGAGCCUACAUGUUUAUUUUGCACUGGAUCCUGCAAAUUAGCCAGUCCUGGUACUGAGGGCAGGUCCCUGGGUGAGUCUCACACAGCCUCCAUCCUUUGGUAAAGCAGCUUUCCUGAUUUAGCAAAUGCCUUACCAGAAAGCCUUUUCCUUGAAGAUGCUUUAACUUUUGUCUUCCCUGGCAAAGCUGUUUCCUUAUGGUAAAGCACCCAGCUCAUAGCUGAUAUUCAAUCCAUGAAGUAGCUCUGUCAGCAGCUGUCAUCAUGAAGACUUUGCAGCCUGCGGGUGGUAGCAUUCUGAAUCGUCAGUCUGUCUCGCUCCUGUAGCAAAUGCACGAUCCGGGAAAGCAUGUCCCAAGCUUUGUUCUGGAGAAGAUUUCUCCAGCUAUCAGAUGGUGUCUGUCAUCACAAUAGCUUAGGAGAUGCUGCUCACUCCAUCCUCCUCACUAAGUGUCACAGUACACUUGGGUAUGUACAAGUCUCUGAGAAGUCCAGCAGCAAAGACACCUUUGUGUUUUGCUGAUUCUAGCCUUUCCUAGACUAGAAGUCUUUUUUUCUAGUCUAGGAAAAGACUGUGGAAUCUUUUCUUUUUUUUCCUGAUACACACAUUCACAUUCCGUGGAACAUUUAGGACGUGGUUAUCUGGUCCUAAAGUAGUAAAGGUGAAGAUGUUGUGGGAGGUGCAAGAAAGAGCAGCAAGGAGUAGAUGGGGCACACUGCAAAGUGCGAUCCCCACAUACCUAAGUUAGUAUCAAUUACUACUAACAAAACUCGGCCAAGACUCUUUUGCAUUCGUUUUGUUUCUCUCUUUUACCCUGAUUAUAUUAAGAAAUAUGACAGGCCUGUGACUCACUGAUUAGACCAUCUUAGUCACUUUGGGUUGUCCCAGCAACAGGAGACUUAACUCUGACCAUAGGUAAGGAGCCCAGAGGACAGGAGAGCAGGGAUUUCUGAGGAUUUAACAAAUGCUUAUAAACAAAUGAUAUCACUUUGAACAAAGUAAUCAAAGUAUCAAAUGCUAUAAACACCACAGUAGGGCAAUGUGUGAAUCAUACUUGUGGUGAGACAUACAUAGAUCAGCUGCAAAGAGGAACUCAAUUCUGCAGAACCUCAGCUGGAGUAACUGAUGUGAAACAUGGACAGGGAAAUGGAAGGAAGUCAGCGGACACGGAAACUCUAGGAACUGAACUUUGACAAGGAACGCCGUCCAUAAUCCCAAGUCCUAUGACUUCAUAGAGGAAAAAAACCCUAGUGGAGCAGAACAGGGCCUCAUAGAGGGGCUGGGGCCUCACUGAGGGCUGGGAAGUUUGAUAGGACUUCCCUUGCUGGUAAGGAACAAAACUGGGUCUCAGGUUCAGGUUUGUAAAGCUAAUUUCAUACAUUUGCAGCAGAUGCUGUCAGUGUCCCUCCCCAAGCCCCUCAGCACUCAGCAUUCAUAGACAUCCUCAUCUUGCAAGCACCUGAGUCUCUCUCUGUAAGGUUUCUGUUGGCCUCAGGGCAGACCAGGGUACCAGGGAGGGCAGACCAGGGUACCAGGGAGCACAGCCCUCAAAGAAAGAUGACAGGAGUUGGUGUAAAUCUCAUGGCUUUCAUGUUACUUAGGGGGACCAAUGCUGAGGCAUGCUUAGCAUGAUCCUCUGUGAGACUGGGCCUCAGGUGUCCGCUGCAGCCGCCUGUUCAUUAGUGUGACAUGCACGGGAUUCCUUCCGUAUCCUGGCCCCUUUCUCUACUUCCCAACCGUGCUUCCUGAGACAUACUCAAAUCCUUGUCUCACACUUGGCUUCUGGGAGAAUCCAACUGCAAAUGCUGUGUUUUAUUUUUUAUUUAUGUAUUUAAUUAUUUGGAGAUAGGGUCUCCCUCUGUCACCCAGGCUGGAGUAAAAUGGCACAAUCCUAGCUCACUGCAAUAUUAAACUCCUGGGCUCCAGUAAUCCUCAGCCUCCAGGAGCUGGAACUACAGUCGUGCACAGCAAUGCCAGCUAAAGUUUCCUUUAAAUUUUUUGUAGAGUCAAGAUCUCACUAUUUCAGUCAGGUCUUGAACUCCUUGCCUCCCAAAGUUCUGGGAUUACAGCACUUGGCCUCCCAAAGUGCUGGGAUUACAGGCGUGAGCCACUGCAUCUGGCUGUUUAUUCCAUUAAAAUGAUUGAAGGAGUCUCUUGCUUUGGGAAUUUUGCUCCCGUGGUGAGAACACUAUGGGAAUGACAUCUCAAGAAUAUGGCUCCUUCAAAUGAAUUUAAAAUGGUCUUUCUAUUUUUGUCCAGUGGUUACAAUAGCUGAUGGGCUCGAGGUAAGGAGAUGCUAAGCUGCCAUUCUCUCCUUCAACCCAUGGCAUUUACUGAGCUUCUAAAUCAGUCAGGCCCUGGGCUGGACCCUGGGCAUGCAGACUGAAUCAGAGCCUUCAGGACUAGCAGGAGAGACAGGUAUAUAUAGUGGCAAGGGCAAUAUUUAUUCACUCAUUCAUUCUUUUUCCUUUUUUAUGUGCCAAAUCUUUAAUGAGGGCCUACCUUGUACUCAGGAACACCAGGAAUAAACAGAAAACAAAAAGAUAUCAUUUCUGGACUCAGUUCACCAUCUAGAGAAAAAAAAAAAAAAAAAAAAAGACCUGAAAUGGACAAAUACAGUACUGUUUGACAAAUGUCACGUAAGAAGAAGCCCAUGAUACUGAGGAUGGUAUAGGAGGGGCCGUAUCCAGGUUGAAGGAGUCAAAUAUGACAGCUGCCGUGAGAAUUACAAUCAGAAAACCAUGACCCGGAUGCUUAUCCUAUUCAUUGCUUGAGCCUGAGAACACAAACACACAGGGUGUGGCUGAAAUUCCUCUGAAAUUGUAUUGAUUUGAGAAAACUGCAAUCUUGUGUUAAAAUGUGAAUCAUACACAAGGAUGCAAAACAGUUACCGCUGACCAUAAAUCUAGGCUAUCAGAAUGGAAUCUGAUGGCUUGUCUACCAGACUGCAUUGUGAAACCAAUCAAAUGGGAGAUAGACUCACCACUUACCAAGUACCUCUGAGACACCAGGCACCCUGUGGGGUGCCCUACUCAUCAUCUUGUUUAACCAGUUGAUUGGGAAUAGCUCCAUUUUACAGAGAAAGACUGUUAGGCAGCUUUCUAAGAUGGCCCUAAUUAUUCCUUCCUUCUGGUAAUCCCCUUCCUUUAAAUGUGGGCUACACUUAAUUACCUGCUUUUAACAAACAGAAUAUAGCAAAAGUGAUGGGAUGUCAGGAGACUGAAUCAGUAACCAAAAACCUCCAGACAAAGAAAAGCCCAGGGCCAGAGGGCUUCACUGGUAAAUUUACCAAACAUUUAAAGAAGAAUUAGCACCAGUCUUUCUCAAACUCCUCAACAAAUUGAAGAGGAGAGAACACUUCUAAAUACACUUUAUGAGGCCAGCAUUACCCUAACAUCAGAGCCAGACAAAGACACAAGAAAAGAAAACUACAGACUAAUAUUUCUAAUGAAUCUUGAUGCACAAAUCCUCAAAAAAGAAGAAAACAUACUAGCAAACAUAAUUCAGCCGCACAUUAAAAGGAUUAAGCACCAUGACAAAGUGGGAUUUAUUCUUAGUAUAAAAGGAUAUUUCAACGUAAAAAAGUCAAUGUAAUAUAUCACAUUAAUAGAAUGAUGAGAAAAAAUCCACAAGAUUAUCCCAAUUGAUGCAUUUAACAAAACUUAAUACUCUUUCAUGAAAAAACACUCAACAAACCAGGAAUACAUGAAACUACCCCAACAUAAGACAGUCCACAAAUGAAAAGCUCACAACCAACAUAAUACUCAUGGUGAAAAGCUGAAAGCUUCCUCUAAGAUCAGGAAUGAGACAAAAAUGUCCACUUUUGAAUCAACCUGUAUUCAACAUAGUAUAAGAAGUCCUCGCCAGAAUUUUCAGGAAAAAAAAAAAAGAAAGAAAAAAAAGCCAGUCAAAUUGAAAAGAAAGAAGAAAAAUUAUCUUUGCUCACAAAUGACAUGAACUUAUAAAACUCCUAGAAUUAAUAAAUGGAUGCUGCAAUGUUGAAGGAUACAAAAAUCAACACACAAAAAUCAGUUAUGUUUUUAUAUACUAACAAUGAAUGAGCCAAAAAUGAAAUUAAAACAAUUCCAUUUACAAUAGCAUCAGAAAGACUAAAAUACCUAACAAUAAACUUAACCAAGGAGGUAAAAUGCUUGAGUAUUUAGACACUAAAAAUUAUAAGGCCUGCACGGUGGUUCAUACCUGUAAUCCCAGCAUUUUGGGAGGCAGGUGGAUCACUUGAGGUUAGGAGUUUGAGACCAGCCUGGCC
rnacentral:lncRNA from 10 species